rnacentral:lncRNA from 1 species
AGAACCAGAGGACAUGUGUAUCUGUUAAAUAUAAUCUUCACAAACCAAAUUGACUUUAUAUAUAUGAUCACUUUAUGUAAAACACAACAACGAGAACCAUCCGUAGAGUACAUUUCACAUAAAGCUGAAAUUAAGUAACACAAUAUCAUCAAAUAUAUAUAUAUAUAUAUAUAUAUAUAUAUAUAUAUAUUUAUAACACCAAGAAUUUGCAUGAAACCGUUAACACCGAUCUCAUCACUAGCUGCAGAAGUGAAAGAUAUGGUAACAACAGCAGACCGUGCUACAACUGCCAAGACAACGCCAUUGUUAGCCUCUUUUUUUUUACCAUUUUAUGUAGGAAAUAUGAUAUUGUAAUAAUUAAAACAGUAACAUAUCUUCCGAAAUACUAGAAAAAGCGAGGUUUUCAUAUAGCAAAGUGCGAAACAAUUUUAAUUUACUUUGGCUGCUCAGUUGGAAAAGGAAAAACAGUUUGAGCUGAAAACUUGAAGUUGGAUUUUUUCUGAAAAAGAAACUGAGUUGGUGAAAUUAGACAAUUCUUUUUAAAAGAAAACCCUAGGUUUAAAAUUUUAAUCUCGUCUGACAUAAUGAAAACAAAUCUAUAAAAAAAUGUCUGAUGAGUUAAAUAUUUUAAAACCCCCAAAAAAUGGAGAAAUCACAUCUCUAAAAUCUACACAAUCAGAUCACUAAAAACAAAACAAAAAAAAAUACAUUUGAGCGCUGUGUGAAUAUUCUGCAAAUGAUUAACGUAUAACUAAAAGCAACUAAUCUAUAAAUACAAAAAGUAUUUUUUUCUAGCAAAGAAGAACGUAAAUUUAAAGAAAUAUUUACAUUUUUUUAAAAGAACAUUCAUCAUCGCCUUUGGACUUGGUCUCCACUGCGGCUACCACGGGAUCACCACCAGCCACAUCUCUGGUCGGAUAACCAAUUGGCGGCGGAAUUGUGUACGCCCCCUGCGUAGGUUUUUCCACUACAACUAAAAAACAUUAGUAAAUUAUAUAACGAAUUAAUUCGUCAGUGGUAACAGAAUAGCUGUUGUAUAUAUAUUCUUAGCAUCAGUACCAGAAAAAAGCUGUUGGGUAUAUGGACAUUGAUCUUCAAAAGACUUAACUGAAUAACUAGGAGUAUUACCUGAAGACGGAUUCAUUCUGACUUCUAUGAUAAGUGAGGAGAUAAGGAUUAUGAAGAGGAGAGAGUGUUGUGGUUUUAAUUCAAAGAAGACGAGUACUAUCCAUGGUUUUAUAGAGAUUAUGAAUAUCCGGCUCAGGAUUAUGAAGAUAAUGAGUAUGAGGACGAGUGAAUACUUAGGUCCACGACAAUCCACUCUCUAGGUUCUUAGUGUUCGUAUUUCGAGUGAAUAUCUUAAUAAUAAUAUUUUGGAGAAAAGUCUUUGGUGUGUAAGUGUGCCUCAAUGGACUUUUCCAUAUCCAGCUAUAUCUUCUCCUUUCGAGUCAAUUUAGAUUUGGACUCACUAACGGAUGUUCCCCUUAACAUAUAAUUAGAUCUCGAUCCGCACUACCAUGCAAGUUUUUGUUUUUAUUUAUUUUUAUAUAAAAUUUUUGUUUCCAAUUCUAAAUUGAUAUAUAUUAUAAUAUAUAUAUAUAUCUAUCAAAUUUUAAAACAUAAUAAAUUUACGGUAUAUUUUUUAUUUGAAUAGAUUAUUUCGAACUUUCACAUGUAUUUGUAUCUUCUUCUAUAUAUAUAUUUUUUGGAUUAUUAUUUCAUUAUUAAAAUCGUAACUAUAUAUAUAAAGAUUAGUAAAAUAUUUUUUUAUUGUAAUAUUUACAAAUAUUGUAACAUUUCACAAAUUUAAAAUUUUUUUAAAAUUAUCGAGUAAAUAAUUAAACAUUUAGUUUUUGUUUAAUUUUUAAAAUAAACUAUAUAGUUUAAAAUUUGUUUUCAUUGGUUUAAGGUAGUAAAAAUUAAUCGUAGUUAGAUAAUAUGAUUUUUUGUUAUUUAAAAAAAAAUCUUCAAAAUUUUAAAAUUUAACAUCGACAAAUAUUUAAAUAAUUAACGUAUGGAUGUAUAGUAUUACAACAUUAAAUUAUAUCUAUUUAAUUUAUAUUAUCUAUAAAUCCAAUGUAUCAUCUAUUGUUUAAAUCCAAUUAUUGAUAGCCCAAUAAAACUUUUAGGUAAGCCCCAAAUUUAAAUGAUAAGAUUAGAGAUUAAAUGUAACAUAACUUUCUAUAAUAGGUCCAUUAGGUCCAUUUUUUUAAAAAAAAUCACAGAUGAAUCAAUGUUGUGCAUUCUGUUUUAAUAUAUAAGAUCAUAUAUCUUCAGCAGGGUUGUAGCUGGUAGCAAGCUUGGUGUGGCUUCUGGGCUUCAAACGGUCUUGAAAUAUGCUUGGCCCACGUUCUAGCAUCCAUAUCGAUCGAUGUCAAUAGUUCUGCAUCGAUCGACAUACGUUCCUCUUCUCGACAGCUUCUUCUCGCGAGGCAGACUGACCACUCUUCAGUAAAACGAGCAUAACGUCUGCUACAGGAUGCUGAUUGACCUCACACCAGUGGCAUUGGAAAGCUAACUCAACGAUCUAUUUUGUGUUAGAAGAUGAGUUCAAUCUAACGGUGGAAAGGUCUUAAUCCACAGCUAGAAAUCUGACGCAUCUGUGCAGUUCUGCACCUCAAAAAAAUUCUAAAAUCACCAUAUUUCUUCAAAACGUACCUGAACCUGUAAAUACUCUAAAUAGACUCUAUAUAGUAGUAAAUAUAUAUUAAAACACUUAUAUACCAUGGCUAAAAGUGGGUAAAAUCCAUGGUCUAUUAUAUACUAUUACUGAUACUGAUACUGAUUUGAGCUUCCAUUAAAUUCCUUAGAAGAUAUGAAAUGAUGGAAAUGCUGGAGGUUUUUGUAUACAUAGAAGGAGAUAGACCCAUAAUGCACAGAGCAAUGAUUAUGGAACAAUCGCUAAAAGAACUAAACUUUACAGAAUAUGAACAAUCCCUAUAAGCGUAAAACUUUCCAGAAUAUUAAUGGAGUAAACUGUAAAUCAGAUUUAUGAAAAGAGGCUUACAUUCUCAUCGACAAAGAGCAUGUCAACACUCAUCAGUUCACUACCUUUCCUUACAUUUUUCGCCUCCCAGUAUCGGGGUAAACGAACCUCCGCGACGUUCGAGCACCGUCCUGCGUUCAGAUCGGCAAGAAGGACUUGGGGAUUCGCCAUUGUAAUAACUGGAAAUUGAACAGAAUGAUCUUCUGGUUCUCGUCGAAGCUGAGAUGCUCAUGUCUGGAUGAGGAGGUAUUUAUACCCGAAACUCUACUGAGUAACUCAGGGAAGAGAAGGAGUCGGAUUGAAUGCUGAAAAGUGGGGAAAUCACGAUUUAACCAAAGUAAAGAAGAGCAAAGCCAAACGUUGUAACGUCCAUGGCGUUAUCAUCGACUUUCAUCUGCAAAAUGCGGCGGCCGUAAGAAGGAGAAACGACCAAGAGGAAGAGGCGAUUCCGGGCCUGAAAAUUUAAUGUUUUGAGAUGGACCUCAAACUAAAACACAAAAUCCAAUUUAUCAAACAAAACCCAAUCGUAAAUUAUAGCCAAUGAAAAAACAAUACGUGUCAUUUUUUCUUCCAAGGAAAGAAAAAAGUCUACUUUAUUGGUAUAGAUAUGCACGUUUAAUUAAAUCAUGAAGUUCACUUUAAUAAAUAUAAAAAUAAUGACUUAUUUAAAAAAACUAGGCCAAACAAAACAAAAGAGGGAUAAAAAAAUAUAAUUAUUUGCAUGCUCUUAAAUGGAUUAUUAUCUUAGCCGAAUGACACAUUUCCACAAAUGUCUACACCAAAUGAGAUUUUAUAACAAGUGUCUAACCUUAUGACACAUGCACAACAUACGCAUCCGCCAAAUGACACAUGUCAAACACUCACAAAUAAUUAUUUAUUUAUUAAAUUCAUUUUUAAAUAAUUACCAAAAUGCCAUUAUCUUCAACCUUUGGCUAAAACACCAUUUUAACAUAAAAUCAAGCUUUCAUGAGAUUUUAAUUCCAAAAAUUAUGCAUAAUAACCUUAUAAAUCAUGAUAAAGCAAGACUUUAACUUUAAUCAUGAUUCUUAUGCAUAAUUAAUAAAAUCUCAAACUUUAAAUUCAUAAAUUUUAUAAAUAACCUAAAUAUCACAUCAUGAACACAUGCGACCAUAUACACAUAGUAGUAGGCUCUGAUACCACUUGAUGGAUUUACGUAUACUUAAUGGAGGUGGUAUCGUCUCCACAUAUAUCCUUAGGCCCCUUGAUCUACUAGUGUAUAUGGUUAGCACUGAAAAUUAAGAGCGCUUGAAACACUUACUUGAACUCAUCUUAGAAGAAGAUGAUAGGUAGAUGGUCUUCUAGCUCUUCGUAUCCGAAUUAUCCUCUAAUAAGUAGUGGGAGCUUGAGUAGAGAAUAGAGGAAGUAUGUCUGAUGAGAGUGAGAGAGAAUCCUUAUGUUUUUGUUUAGCAAAAUGACAAAAGCCUUCUUUUCAACCUUACACUUUAUGUUCUCAUCUCUCUAUCUUAUAUACUUCUCCACCUUAUGGUAUAUAUUAAACCGAAUAUAUAUACCUUCAUAUAUACGUGAGCUAGGGACCACAACCAAUCCAGUAAACUGUAACUUAACCGGUCCUGAACCAUUGUCAUUUAAUUCAGCCCAUCAUAGAAUUAAAUGAUAUCCUAAUUGGUUUUGGGAAAAUUGCUAAAAGAGAACAAAAAAAUAAGGUUGUUGUUCCCUUGGUAUAAAACCAACAUAAAGUUGUCUCAAUAGUAUAAUAUUUCUCAUAAUCCCAAAACUAACCAUAUAUUUAAUCUAAUUAAACACAAUUUAAAAGUUAAUUUGAAUUUAAAAAAAAAAGUUAAUGGAGAAAAGAAAAAAAAAACAGUUGAAAGGCAAUCGAAAAAAAGAGAGGUAUAGAUAUGCAUCUUAGAGAACAAGAGUUUGUGAGAAGAAUCAAAAGAAAAACUAUGGAAAAACCAUAGAUUGAUGAAGAAGAGAAGGGAGAAUCGUUUUUUUAUUUAAUUUUUCAAGUAAAAUCGACCAUAACAUGUUUUAGGAAGUUUGAAUAUUUCUAGGAGAUUUUUAGAAUAUUUCCUUAACUGAAAUUUCACUAAUUUUUGCAAAAAAAAUCAGGUAUUCUUAUCCGCAGAAUGUGACUUCUAAAAAUUUAUAAGAAUGAUAAAAAUUCUGAAUACACUUUCUACUUUGAGUAGCAUAAGAGUACAUUGUAGAAAACACAUUCCCCGAAAUUUAGAAUACUUAGUAGAAGAUGCAUUCGGAAGGAAAAUAGAUACAUUUACGAUUAGUAGAAUGCACAUUUCUCUUUUUUAGAAAUUUAGUAAAUAGUAAAAUGGGCGUUCUAAAAGAAGUAGAUGAACGUGUUUAUUUUAGAAAUCGUUUUCUACUAUACCAUUUUUCGUAGAAGACGCAUUCUACUUUUAGUAGAACGUAUUUUAAAAAUCUUAUUUACCAAGUUUUUGAACAAAAGAAAAUUACCAGCUUGUGUAUAUGGAUGUUUUAUUAAUUGUUUAUAUUUUUAAUAAAUUUUUUGAUUCAAAAAAUUAUUUAUUUCAUUAGUUUUCAGAAAUACAAAAGGUAAAAAGGAGAAAAAAGAAAAAAAAUGGACAAAAUUGGUUUUAUACCAAAGGGACAACAACCUGAUUUUUUUGUUCUCUUUUGGCAAUUUUCCCAUUGGUUUUAUGCAUAAAAUCCCCAUGUCUAUCAAUUCAAAUACCAAAGAUCCAAUCCAAAUAUGAUCACUCAUUAUUUGAAUUGAACCGAAAUAACAAUCCUUAAUCCAUAAAUCCCACAAUUGGUUCACAUCUCCAAUAAUAUCUAGGAUUUUAUGCACUUAUUAUCAAAGAUGAUAAAUAAUUUUGUUGUCCUAUUCUAUAAGAAUGUUAAGUUUUUAAAGAAACCAUUAUGUUCCAAAAAAAAUUAUAUAUAUAUAUCAAACUUUCUCCAAGUACACCAUCAUCGCCUUUGGACUGUGUUCCGCCCCUGUGAAGUUUUCCACUACAGCUAAAACAAUAACUAAAUUAUAUAACGAAGUGGUCAAUGGUAAUUUUUUUCUUGAGUUCUAGGUUUACAUCAUUUCAAACCAUAACAUCAAAUUUGGUGUUAAAACUAUACCAAAAUUUUGAUGUUAAAUUUUAUUUUUAAUCUUUAAUCACCACACCAAAUUUUAUGCCAAAACAAUUCGUUAUAUUAAUAUUUUUUAGUUUUGGUAAUUUAAUACAUUAAUUAUUUAUAAUUGACAAAUUAUAUUUAUUACAUUUUGUUUUAUAUUUAAUAUUAAAAUUUGGUAACUUUAUCUUCCUGUUUAUAUAUAUAUAUAUAUAUAUAUAAGUCGUUUUUUUUUCUUUUAGUUAUAUUGUAUAAUUAUUUGUUUAUUUUGUUUAAAAUAUUGGUCGAAACUAAUUUUUUUACAUUUAAAAUUAAAAGCAUGUUUAUGUUGUUACCAUUUAAUGUUAUUAUGAUUAUAGUCAUUUUAAUUAUAUUAUUAAUUAAAAAUAGAAAUGAAUAGAUGAGAAUACAAAUAUAAAAUAUUAUGAGAUAUUCAUUUUAACUAUAAGUUAAAACUAAUUAAUAAAACGAUAUAUCUAUAUUUAAAUAAACGUAAUAAGAUACAUUAAUUUAAUAUUUGGUAUAAUGAAGAGUGUGACAUUAAAUUUGGUUUAACACUAUUUACAUUACACCAACUUUAAUAUAAGAUGAUAUCAUUUUUAUGUCUCACUGGAAAUGAAAUUUUUGAUGUUUUGGUAUCUCAUUGGAGAUGACCUACCUAACUUUUUACCUUGUAUAAGCAGAAGAGUUUUGCGUCUGACUAUUAUGCCAUCAACCAUAGUUGUAUUUAUUACAUAUGUGAAUUUUUAUACCUUCUAAGUAAAGCAAAACACAAAUUAUUCAACGGAUAGGUUCUAAGAUUUUGUAUUGGAUUUUAAGAUGCAUGAAGUUAGUUAAACAAUUCAAAGUUUUCUUGAACUUGUUGAUUAUUUUGUUUAAAUCUAUACUCAUAAUUUUUUGAAAGGAAUUGUAAUAAAACACAUGUUUGUACAAGAUUCUCUAAUGCAUUUUAUGUUACAGUUUUUAACGUAGUUCAACGUAGUUGUUGUAUUUACAUUGUUAGAAGAACCAGAGGACAUGUGUAUCUGUUAAAUAUAAUCUUCACAAACCAAAUUGACUUUAUAUAUAUGAUCACUUUAUGUAAAACACAACAACGAGAACCAUCCGUAGAGUACAUUUCACAUAAAGCUGAAAUUAAGUAACACAAUAUCAUCAAAUAUAUAUAUAUAUAUAUAUUUAUAACACCAAGAAUUUGCAUGAAACCGUUAACACCGAUCUCAUCACUAGCUGCAGAAGUGAAAGAUAUGGUAACAACAGCAGACCGUGCUACAACUGCCAAGACAACGCCAUUGUUAGCCUCUUUUUUUUUACCAUUUUAUGUAGGAAAUAUGAUAUUGUAAUAAUUAAAACAGUAACAUAUCUUCCGAAAUACUAGAAAAAGCGAGGUUUUCAUAUAGCAAAGUGCGAAACAAUUUUAAUUUACUUUGGCUGCUCAGUUGGAAAAGGAAAAACAGUUUGAGCUGAAAACUUGAAGUUGGAUUUUUUCUGAAAAAGAAACUGAGUUGGUGAAAUUAGACAAUUCUUUUUAAAAGAAAACCCUAGGUUUAAAAUUUUAAUCUCGUCUGACAUAAUGAAAACAAAUCUAUAAAAAAAUGUCUGAUGAGUUAAAUAUUUUAAAACCCCCAAAAAAUGGAGAAAUCACAUCUCUAAAAUCUACACAAUCAGAUCACUAAAAACAAAACAAAAAAAAAUACAUUUGAGCGCUGUGUGAAUAUUCUGCAAAUGAUUAACGUAUAACUAAAAGCAACUAAUCUAUAAAUACAAAAAGUAUUUUUUUCUAGCAAAGAAGAACGUAAAUUUAAAGAAAUAUUUACAUUUUUUUAAAAGAACAUUCAUCAUCGCCUUUGGACUUGGUCUCCACUGCGGCUACCACGGGAUCACCACCAGCCACAUCUCUGGUCGGAUAACCAAUUGGCGGCGGAAUUGUGUACGCCCCCUGCGUAGGUUUUUCCACUACAACUAAAAAACAUUAGUAAAUUAUAUAACGAAUUAAUUCGUCAGUGGUAACAGAAUAGCUGUUGUAUAUAUAUUCUUAGCAUCAGUACCAGAAAAAAGCUGUUGGGUAUAUGGACAUUGAUCUUCAAAAGACUUAACUGAAUAACUAGGAGUAUUACCUGAAGACGGAUUCAUUCUGACUUCUAUGAUAAGUGAGGAGAUAAGGAUUAUGAAGAGGAGAGAGUGUUGUGGUUUUAAUUCAAAGAAGACGAGUACUAUCCAUGGUUUUAUAGAGAUUAUGAAUAUCCGGCUCAGGAUUAUGAAGAUAAUGAGUAUGAGGACGAGUGAAUACUUAG